rnacentral:rRNA from 1 species
AUUGAACGCUGGCGGCUGGCUUAACACAUGCAAGUCGAGCGAGCGGCGGACGGGUGAGUAAUGUCUGGGAAACUGCCUGAUGGAGGGGGAUAACUACUGGAAACGGUAGCUACUACCGCAUACCAUCAGAUGUGCCCAGAUGGGAUUAGCUAGUAGGUGGGGUAAUGGCUCACCUAGGCGACGAUCCCUAGCUGGUCUGAGAGGAUGACCAGCGACACGGGAACUGAGACACGGUCCAGACUCGUACGGGAGGGAGCAGUGGGGAAGAUGGGACAAUGGGGGAAAGCCUGAUGCAGGCAUGGCGCGUGUGUGAAGAAGGCGUUGGGGUUGUAAAGCACUUUGAGCGAGGAGGCGUUACUGGAAGAAGAAGCACCGGCUAACAACGUGCCAGCAGCCGCGGUAAUAC